rnacentral:rRNA from 1 species
GAGGCUACCCGCUGAGUUUAAG